rnacentral:rRNA from 1 species
CAGUCGCCGCGGUAAUACGUAGGGUGCGAGCGUUAAUCGGAAUUACUGGGCGUAAAGCGUGCGCAGGCGGUUCGUUAAGACAGAUGUGAAAUCCCCGGGCUUAACCUGGGAACUGCAUUUGUGACUGGCGAGCUAGAGUAUGGCAGAGGGGGGUAGAAUUCCACGUGUAGCAGUGAAAUGCGUAGAGAUGUGGAGGAAUACCGGUGGCGAAGGCAGCCCCCUGGGCCAAUACUGACGCUCAUGCACGAAAGCGUGGGGAGCAAACAGGAUUAGAGACCCCCGUAGUCCCUGUCUCUUAUAC